ACACAUGCAAGUCGAACGAGAAUCUGCUGAAGGAGGAUUCGUCCAACGGAAGCAGAGGAAAGUGGCGGACGGGUGAGUAACGCGUGAGGAACCUGCCUUGAAGAGGGGGACAACAGUUGGAAACGACUGCUAAUACCGCAUGACGCAUAGAGGUCGCAUGAUCUUUAUGCCAAAGAUUUAUCGCUUCAAGAUGGCCUCGCGUCUGAUUAGCUGGUUGGCGGGGUAACGGCCCACCAAGGCGACGAUCAGUAGCCGGACUGAGAGGUUGAACGGCCACAUUGGGACUGAGAUACGGCCCAGACUCCUACGGGAGGCAGCAGUGGGGAAUAUUGGGCAAUGGGCGCAAGCCUGACCCAGCAACGCCGCGUGAAGGAAGAAGGCUUUCGGGUUGUAAACUUCUUUUAAGAGGGAAGAGUAGAAGACGGUACCUCUAGAAUAAGCCACGGCUAACUACGUGCCAGCAGCCGCGGUAAUACGUAGGUGGCAAGCGUUGUCCGGAUUUACUGGGUGUAAAGGGCGUGCAGCCGGGUCUGCAAGUCAGAUGUGAAAUCCAUGGGCUCAACCCAUGAACUGCAUUUGAAACUGUAGAUCUUGAGUGUCGGAGGGGCAAUCGGAAUUCCUAGUGUAGCGGUGAAAUGCGUAGAUAUUAGGAGGAACACCAGUGGCGAAGGCGGAUUGCUGGACGAUAACUGACGGUGAGGCGCGAAAGUGUGGGGAGCAAACAGGAUUAGAUACCCUGGUAGUCCACACUGUAAACGAUGAAUACUAGGUGUGCGGGGACUGACCCCCUGCGUGCCGCAGUUAACACAAUAAGUAUUCCACCUGGGG
rnacentral:rRNA from 1 species